UGAUAGCGAUGAAGCGUGAGGUUGCUGCUGAAUUAGCAGGUUUUCCGUGGAGCGAAUGUCAAGUUAGGAAACUGACGACAA
rnacentral:ncRNA from 1 species